UACGUAGGGCGCAAGCGUUAUCCGGAAUUAUUGGGCGUAAAGAGCUCGUAGGCGGUUUGUCGCGUCUGCCGUGAAAGUCCGGGGCUCAACCCCGGACUUGCGGUGGGUACGGGCAGACUAGAGUGUGGUAGGGGAGACUGGAAUUCCUGGUGUAGCGGUGAAAUGCGCAGAUAUCAGGAGGAACACCGAUGGCGAAGGCAGGUCUCUGGGCCACUACUGACGCUGAGAAGCGAAAGCGUGGGGAGCAAACAGG
rnacentral:rRNA from 1 species